rnacentral:rRNA from 1 species
UGUAGUCAUAUGCUUGUCUCAAAGAUUAAGCCAUGCAUGUCUAAGUAUAAGCAAUUACAAAGCGAAACUGCGAAUGGCUCAUUAUAUAAGUUAUCGUUUAUUUGAUAGUACCUUACUACAUGGAUAACCGUGGUAAUUCUAGAGCUAAUACAUGCUGAAAAUCCCGACUUCGGGAGGGAUGUAUUUAUUAGAUACAAAACCAAUGCCCUUCGGGGCUCUCUUGGUGAUUCAUGAUAACUUCUCGAAUCGCACGGCCCCGCGCCGGCGAUGGUUCAUUCAAAUUUCUUCCCUAUCAACUUUCGAUGCUACGGUAUUGUCCUAGCAUGGUUGCAACGGGUGACGGAGGGUUAGGGCUCGACCCCGGAGAAGGAGCCUGAGAAACGGCUACCACAUCCAAGGAAGGCAGCAGGCGCGCAAAUUACCCAAUCCCGACACGGGGAGGUAGUGACAAUAAAUAACAAUACCGGGCCUUUGGUCUGGUAAUUGGAAUGAGUACAAUCUAAAUCCCUUAACGAGUAUCCAUUGGAGGGCAAGUCUGGUAAUCG